rnacentral:rRNA from 1 species
UUAAGUGACUAAGCGUACACGGUGGAUGCCUGGGCAGUCAGAGGCGAUGAAGGACGUACUAACUUGCGAUAAGCGCAGAUAAGGCAGUAAGAGCCGUUUGAGUCUGCGAUUUCCGAAUGGGGAAACCCAACUGCAUAAGCAGUUACUGUUAACUGAAUACAUAGGUUAACAGAGCAAACCGGGGGAACUGAAACAUCUAAGUACCCCGAGGAGAAGAAAUCAACCGAGAUUCCGGUAGUAGCGGCGAGCGAACCUGGAUUAGCCCUUAAGCACUCGGUGAAGUAGGUGAACAAGCUGGAAAGCUUGGCGAUACAGGGUGAUAGCCCCGUAACCGACGCUUCAUCGAGCGUGAAAUCGAGUAGGGCGGGACACGUGAUAUCCUGUCUGAAUAUGGGGGGACCAUCCUCCAAGGCUAAAUACUCCUGACUGACCGAUAGUGAACCAGUACCGUGAGGGAAAGGCGAAAAGAACCCCUGUGAGGGGAGUGAAAUAGAACCUGAAACCGUGUACGUACAAGCAGUAGGAGCACCUUCGUGGUGUGACUGCGUACCUUUUGUAUAAUGGGUCAGCGACUUAUAUUCAGUGGCAAGGUUAACCGUAUAGGGGAGCCGUAGCGAAAGCGAGUCUUAACUGGGCGCUCAGUCUCUGGAUAUAGACCCGAAACCGGGUGAUCUAGCCAUGGGCAGGUUGAAGGUUGAGUAACAUCAACUGGAGGACCGAACCGACUAAUGUUGAAAAAUUAGCGGAUGACUUGUGGCUAGGGGUGAAAGGCCAAUCAAACUCGGAGAUAGCUGGUUCUCCCCGAAAGCUAUUUAGGUAGCGCCUCGGACGAAUACUACUGGGGGUAGAGCACUGUUAAGGCUAGGGGGUCAUCCCGACUUACCAACCCUUUGCAAACUCCGAAUACCAGUAAGUACUAUCCGGGAGACACACGGCGGGUGCUAACGUCCGUCGUGGAGAGGGAAACAACCCAGACCGCCAGCUAAGGUCCCAAAGUAUUGCUAAGUGGGAAACGAUGUGGGAAGGCUCAGACAGCUAGGAUGUUGGCUUAGAAGCAGCCAUCAUUUAAAGAAAGCGUAAUAGCUCACUAGUCGAGUCGGCCUGCGCGGAAGAUGUAACGGGGCUAAGCAAUACACCGAAGCUGCGGCAAUGUCUUUUAGACAUUGGGUAGGGGAGCGUUCUGUAAGCCGUUGAAGGUGAAUCGUAAGGUUUGCUGGAGGUAUCAGAAGUGCGAAUGCUGACAUGAGUAACGACAAAGGGGGUGAAAAACCUCCUCGCCGGAAGACCAAGGGUUCCUGUCCAACGUUAAUCGGGGCAGGGUGAGUCGACCCUAAGGUGAGGCCGAAAGGCGUAAUCGAUGGGAAACGGGUUAAUAUUCCCGUACUUCUGACUAUUGCGAUGGGGGGACGGAGAAGGCUAGGUGGGCCAGGCGACGGUUGUCCUGGUUCAAGUGCGUAGGCUUGAGAGUUAGGUAAAUCCGGCUCUCUCUAAGGCUGAGACACGACGUCGAGCUACUACGGUAGUGAAGUCAUUGAUGCCAUGCUUCCAGGAAAAGCCUCUAAGCUUCAGAUAGUCAGGAAUCGUACCCCAAACCGACACAGGUGGUCGGGUAGAGAAUACCAAGGCGCUUGAGAGAACUCGGGUGAAGGAACUAGGCAAAAUGGUACCGUAACUUCGGGAGAAGGUACGCUCUUGAUGGUGAAGUCCCUCGCGGAUGGAGCUGACGAGAGUCGCAGAUACCAGGUGGCUGCAACUGUUUAUUAAAAACACAGCACUGUGCAAAAUCGCAAGAUGACGUAUACGGUGUGACGCCUGCCCGGUGCCGGAAGGUUAAUUGAUGGGGUUAGCGCAAGCGAAGCUCUUGAUCGAAGCCCGGUAAACGGCGGCCGUAACUAUAACGGUCCUAAGGUAGCGAAAUUCCUUGUCGGGUAAGUUCCGACCUGCACGAAUGGCGUAAUGAUGGCCACGCUGUCUCCACCCGAGACUCAGUGAAAUUGAAAUCGCUGUGAAGAUGCAGUGUACCCGCGGCUAGACGGAAAGACCCCGUGAACCUUUACUACAGCUUGGCACUGAACAUUGAACCUACAUGUGUAGGAUAGGUGGGAGGCUAUGAAGACGUGACGCCAGUUGCGUUGGAGCCGUCCUUGAAAUACCACCCUUGUAUGUUUGAUGUUCUAACUUAGACCCAUUAUCUGGGUUGAGGACAGUGCCUGGUGGGUAGUUUGACUGGGGCGGUCUCCUCCCAAAGAGUAACGGAGGAGCACGAAGGUGGGCUAAUCACGGUUGGACAUCGUGAGGUUAGUGCAAUGGCAUAAGCCCGCUUAACUGCGAGAAUGACGGUUCGAGCAGGUGCGAAAGCAGGUCAUAGUGAUCCGGUGGUUCUGUAUGGAAGGGCCAUCGCUCAACGGAUAAAAGGUACUCCGGGGAUAACAGGCUGAUACCGCCCAAGAGUUCAUAUCGACGGCGGUGUUUGGCACCUCGAUGUCGGCUCAUCACAUCCUGGGGCUGAAGUCGGUCCCAAGGGUAUGGCUGUUCGCCAUUUAAAGUGGUACGCGAGCUGGGUUUAGAACGUCGUGAGACAGUUCGGUCCCUAUCUGCCGUGGGCGUUGGAAGAUUGAAGGGGGCUGCUCCUAGUACGAGAGGACCGGAGUGGACGAACCUCUGGUGUUCGGGUUGUGUCGCCAGACGCAUUGCCCGGUAGCUAAGUUCGGAAUUGAUAAGCGCUGAAAGCAUCUAAGCGCGAAGCGAGCCCUGAGAUGAGUCUUCCCUGACAGUUUAACUGUCCUAAAGGGUUGUUCGAGACUAGAACGUUGAUAGGCAGGGUGUGUAAGCGUUGUGAGGCGUUGAGCUAACCUGUACUAAUUGCCCGUGAGGCUUAACCAU